GGGUCCGGACACACUGAGGAUUGACAGGCAAUAUUAAUACGUGUUUCGGCGCGUAUUAUGUUAAAUAUGCUAGUCCUUUCAUGAUUAUGUGAUAGGUGGUGCAUGGCCGUUCUUAGUUCGUGGAGUGAUCUGUCUGCUUAAUUGCGUUUCACUAAGAGUCUAUCAAUACGUGCGUUGCGGCACUUUGACCCCUCUCUGAGCGCGCGUCUUAGUUGCUUAGCUCGCACAAUUAGGCUCUGAAAGCAACGAACGUGACCGCAACCUCUUGUUGCCUUUAUACCAAACAUUUUUGCUGUUCUCAGCAUUAAUGCAAAAAGGCUUUUUAAACUAGAGGGACCGCUGUUACUUUCUUAAACCAGAGGAAGGUUGCGGCAAUAACAGGUCUGUGAUGCCCUUAGAUGUUCCGGGCUGCACACGUGCUACAAUGAUUGUUGCAGUGAGCAUCUCAUUUUUACACACCGCAUGCGCGAGUCCGUUUAUUCACUUCGGUGUUUUAAACGUGUAUUUCUGCGCGCGGUAAAGCCUGCUUCGAAAGUAAGUGGGU
rnacentral:rRNA from 1 species